UUGGACGGACGCAUACCUCUGUCACAAGUAGGCUACAUAAUAAGUCGCUUCGUUAAAUAAACAACAUUUUGAAAUUCGUUGUGGUUCGAGCAUUAUAUAAAUAAAAUAUUCCAUCAUGGGUUUAUGCUGUAGUUCAUGCUGUGGUGAUGACGACAACACAGUACAUGUUGUGGACAACGUAGACCACGGCUUCCACCAGCCCCCACCACACAGCGUCCACGUAGUCGACCACGAUCCCGGAAUGGAAAUGCAAAGAUGAUCCUGGACUAACUUCGUAGCAUAAUACAACCAAUUUAUUCUAAUUUAAUAAUUUAUGUGCAUUCACGAAAACGACUCUACUAUUUGAUUAUUCUAUGUAUUAAGGAAAUACAUUUCUUUUACAUAAACUG